rnacentral:miRNA from 1 species
AUAUAGGGAUUGGAGCCGUGCA